rnacentral:rRNA from 1 species
GAUGAACGCUAGCUACAGGCUUAACACAUGCAAGUCGAGGGGUAACAAGAGGAAAGCUUGCUUUUCUUGUUGACGACCGGCGCACGGGUGAGUAACGCGUAUCCAACCUGCCUAUAACUAGGGGAUAACCUUGCGAAAGUAAGACUAAUACCCUAUGAUUUCCUUUGAUGACAUCAGAUUAGGAAUAAAGAUUUAUCGGUUAUAGAUGGGGAUGCGUCUGAUUAGCUUGUUGGCGGGGUAACGGCCCACCAAGGCAACGAUCAGUAGGGGUUCUGAGAGGAAGGUCCCCCGCAUUGGAACUGAGACACGGUCCAAACUCCUACGGGAGGCAGCAGUGAGGAAUAUUGGUCAAUGGGCGGAAGCCUCAACCAGCCAAGUAGCGUGCAGGAUGACGGCCCUAUGGGUUGUAAACUGCUUUUAUACAGGAAUAAAGUUAGCCACGUGUGGUUAUUUGUAGGUACUGUAUGAAUAAGGACCGGCUAAUUCCGUGCCAGCAGCCGCCGUAA